GACGAACGCUGGCGGCGUGCCUAAUACAUGCAAGUCGAACGAACUCUGGUAUUGAUUGGUGCUUGCAUCAUGAUUUACAUUUGAGUGAGUGGCGAACUGGUGAGUAACACGUGGGAAACCUGCCCAGAAGCGGGGGAUAACACCUGGAAACAGAUGCUAAUACCGCAUAACAACUUGGACCGCAUGGUCCGAGUUUGAAAGAUGGCUUCGGCUAUCACUUUUGGAUGGUCCCGCGGCGUAUUAGCUAGAUGGUGAGGUAACGGCUCACCAUGGCAAUGAUACGUAGCCGACCUGAGAGGGUAAUCGGCCACAUUGGGACCGAGACACGGCCCAAACUCCUACGGGAGGCAGCAGUAGGGAAUCUUCCACAAUGGACGAAAGUCUGAUGGAGCAACGCCGCGUGAGUGAAGAAGGGUUUCGGCUCGUAAAACUCUGUUGUUAAAGAAGAACAUAUCUGAGAGUAACUGUUCAGGUAUUGACGGUAUUUAACCAGAAAGCCACGGCUAACUACGUGCCAGCAGCCGCGGUAAUACGUAGGUGGCAAGCGUUGUCCGGAUUUAUUGGGCGUAAAGCGAGCGCAGGCGGUUUUUUAAGUCUGAUGUGAAAGCCUUCGGCUCAACCGAAGAAGUGCAUCGGAAACUGGGAAACUUGAGUGCAGAAGAGGACAGUGGAACUCCAUGUGUAGCGGUGAAAUGCGUAGAUAUAUGGAAGAACACCAGUGGCGAAGGCGGCUGUCUGGUCUGUAACUGACGCUGAGGCUCGAAAGUAUGGGUAGCAAACAGGAUUAGAUACCCUGGUAGUCCAUACCGUAAACGAUGAAUGCUAAGUGUUGGAGGGUUUCCGCCCUUCAGUGCUGCAGCUAACGCAUUAAGCAUUCCGCCUGGGGAGUACGGCCGCAAGGCUGAAACUCAAAGGAAUUGACGGGGGCCCGCACAAGCGGUGGAGCAUGUGGUUUAAUUCGAAGCUACGCGAAGAACCUUACCAGGUCUUGACAUACUAUGCAAAUCUAAGAGAUUAGACGUUCCCUUCGGGGACAUGGAUACAGGUGGUGCAUGGUUGUCGUCAGCUCGUGUCGUGAGAUGUUGGGUUAAGUCCCGCAACGAGCGCAACCCUUAUUAUCAGUUGCCAGCAUUAAGUUGGGCACUCUGGUGAGACUGCCGGUGACAAACCGGAGGAAGGUGGGGAUGACGUCAAAUCAUCAUGCCCCUUAUGACCUGGGCUACACACGUGCUACAAUGGAUGGUACAACGAGUUGCGAACUCGCGAGAGUAAGCUAAUCUCUUAAAGCCAUUCUCAGUUCGGAUUGUAGGCUGCAACUCGCCUACAUGAAGUCGGAAUCGCUAGUAAUCGCGGAUCAGCAUGCCGCGGUGAAUACGUUCCCGGGCCUUGUACACACCGCCCGUCACACCAUGAGAGUUUGUAACACCCAAAGUCGGUGGGGUAACCUUUUAGGAACCAGCCGCCUAAGGUGGGACAGAUGAUUAGGGUG
rnacentral:rRNA from 1 species